GAUGAACGCUGGUGGCGUGCCUAACACAUGCAAGUCGAGCGCGAUUAAGUGGAGUGAGAACUUCGGUUCAAGUGAAGCUUAUGAAAGCGGCGGACGGGUGAGUAACGCGUGGGUAACCUGCCCCAUACAAAGGGAUAGCCACUGGAAACGGUGAUUAAUACCUUAUAAGUCGGUAGUCUCGCAUGAGACAGCCGACAAAGAUUUAUCGGUAUGGGAUGGACCCGCGUCUGAUUAGCUAGUUGGUGAGGUAACGGCUCACCAAGGCGACGAUCAGUAGCCGACCUGAGAGGGUGAUCGGCCACACUGGAACUGAGACACGGUCCAGACUCCUACGGGAGGCAGCAGUGGGGAAUAUUGCACAAUGGGCGCAAGCCUGAUGCAGCAACGCCGCGUGAGUGAUGAAAGGCUUUCGGGUCGUAAAACUACUGUCCUAUGGGAAGAAAAAAAUAGACGGUACCAUAGGAGGAAGCCCCGGCUAACUACGUGCCAGCAGCCG
rnacentral:rRNA from 1 species